rnacentral:rRNA from 1 species
GGUUGAAGGUUGGGUAACACUAACUGGAGGACCGAACCGACUAAUGUUGAAAAAUUAGCGGAUGACUUGUGGAUGGGGGUGAAAGGCCAAUCAAACCGGGAGAUAGCUGGUUCUCCCCGAAAGCUAUUUAGGUAGCGCCUCGUGAAUUCAUCUUCGGGGGUAGAGCACUGUUUCGACUAGGGGGUCAUCCCGACUUACCAACUCGAUGCAAACUGCGAAUACCGAAGAAUGUUAUCACGGGAGACACACGGCGGGUGCUAACGUCCGUCGUGAAGAGGGAAACAACCCAGACCGCCAGCUAAGGUCCCAAAGUCAUGGUUAAGUGGGAAACGAAGUGGGAAGGCUCAGACAGCCAGGAUGUUGGCUUAGAAGCAGCCAUCAUUUAAAGAAAGCGUAAUAGCUCACUGGUCGAGUCGGCCCGCGCGGAAGAUGUAACGGGGCUAAACCAUGCACCGAAGCUGCGGCAGCGACACAAAGUGUUGUUGGGUAGGGGAGCGUUCUGUAAGCCUGCGAAGGUGUACUGUGAGGUAUGCUGGAGGUAUCAGAAGUGCGAAUGCUGACAUAAGUAACGAUAAUGCGGGUGAAAAACCCGCACGCCGGAAGACCAAGGGUUCCUGUCCAACGUUAAUCGGGGCAGGGUGAGUCGACCCCUAAGGCGAGGCUGAAAAGCGUAGUCGAUGGGAAACGGGUUAAUAUUCCCGUACUGGUGGUAACUGCGAUGGGGGAACGGAGAAGGCUAGGUUGUCCGGGCGACGGUCGUCCCGGUUCAAGCAGGUAGGCAGAGUGAUUAGGCAAAUCCGGUCACUUAAUGC